rfam:Felis catus isolate Cinnamon breed Abyssinian chromosome D1, whole genome shotgun sequence.
GCCUGGGUGGCUCAGUCGGUUAAGCAUCUGACUUCGGCUCAGGUCAUGAUCUCACAGUUUGUGGGUUCGAGCCCCGUAUUGGGCU